rnacentral:rRNA from 1 species
AUUGAACGCUGGCGGCAGGCUUAACACAUGCAAGUCGAGCGGAGAGAGGUAGCUUGCUACCGAUCUUAGCGGCGGACGGGUGAGUAAUGCUUAGGAAUCUGCCUAUUAGUGGGGGACAACAUUUCGAAAGGAAUGCUAAUACCGCAUACGUCCUACGGGAGAAAGCAGGGGAUCUUCGGCCCUUGCGCUAAUAGAUGAGCCUAAGUCGGAUUAGCUAGUUGGUGGGGUAAAGGCCUACCAAGGCGACGAUCUGUAGCGGGUCUGAGAGGAUGAUCCGCCACACUGGGACUGAGACACGGCCCAGACUCCUACGGGAGGCGGCAGUGGGGAAUAUUGGACAAUGGGCGCAAGCCUGAUCCAGCCAUGCCGCGUGUGUGAAGAAGGCCUUAUGGUUGUAAAGCACUUUAAGCGAGGAGGAGGCUACUUUAGUUAAUACCUAGAGAUAGUGGACGUUACUCGCAGAAUAAGCACCGGCUAACUCUGUGCCAGCCGCCGCCGUAAGAC